rnacentral:rRNA from 1 species
UACGUAGGGAGCAAGCGUUGUCCGGAAUCAUUGGGCGUAAAGCGCGCGUAGGCGGCCCUGUAAGUCCGUUGUGAAAGUCAAAGGCUCAACCUUUGAAAGCCGAUGGAUACUGCAGGGCUAGAGUCCGGAAGCGGCGAGUGGAAUUCCUGGUGUAGCGGUGGAAUGCGCAGAUAUCAGGAGGAACACCAAUAGCGAAGGCAGCUCGCUGGGACGGUACUGACGCUAAGGCGCGAAAGCGUGGGGAGCGAACAGG